rnacentral:rRNA from 1 species
UCAGGAAUCUUGCACAAUGGGGGAAACCCUGAUGCAGCGACGUCGCGUGGAGGAAGACGGCCUUCGGGUUGUAAACUCCUUUUCUCGGGGAAGAGAAUGGACGGUACCCGAGGAAUAAGCCCCGGCUAACUCCGUGCCAGCAGCCGCGGUAAUACGGAGGGGGCGAGCGUUGUCCGAAUUUAUUGGGCGUAAAGCGCGUGUAGGCGGACCGUAAAGCCUGGGGUGAAAGCCCGGAGCUCAACUCCGGAACGGCCCUGGGGACUUAUGGUCUGGAGGCAGGCAGAGGAGCGUGGAAUUCCCGGUGUAGCGGUGGAAUGCGUAGAGAUCGGGAAGAACACCCGUGGCGAAGGCGGCGCUCUGGGCCUGUACUGACGCUGAGACGCGAAAGCGUGGGGAGCGAACGGG